rnacentral:rRNA from 1 species
GCUGGCGGCGUGCUUAACACAUGCAAGUCGAACGCGAAAGUUUUCUUCGGAAAGCGAGUAGAGUGGCGCACGGGUGAGUAACGCGUAAAUAAUCUACCCUGAUGUCUGGGAUAACCCUUCGAAAGGGGGACUAAUACCGGGUAUAUGGUUAUCUGUUGGGAUAACCAGGAAAGGUGGCCUCUAUUUAUAAGCUAUCGCAUUGGGAUGAGUUUGCGUACCAUUAGCUAGUUGGUGAGGUAACGGCCCACCAAGGCGACGAUGGUUAGCGGGUCUGAGAGGAUGAUCCGUCACACUGGCACUGGAACACGGGCCAGACUCCUACGGGAGGCAGCAGUGAGGAAUAUUGCGCAAUGGGGGGAACCCUGACGCAGCGACGCCGCGUGAGUGAGGAAGGCCUUCGGGUCGUAAAGCUCUGUCAGAUGGGAAGAAGUGUGUAUUGGUUAAUACCCAGUACAUUUGACGGUACCAUCAGAGGAAGCACCGGCUAACUCCGUGCCAGCAGCCGCGGUAAUACGGAGGGUGCGAGCGUUGUUCGGAAUCACUGGGCGUAAAGGGCGCGCAGGCGGUUUGUUUAGUCAGAUGUGAAAGCCCACGGCUUAACCG